AGAAAAAAAUGUUAUUAGGAAGCAGUGCAAAAAUCGCUUGAAGAAAGUUCGCAGUACCAAGGUCAAGGUGGGACAAGCUGCCAAGAUUGAUGUGUUUACUUUUUUCACCACUUCCUACAUCAAAUGAGAAAAGAUAGAUAAUCUUCAGAUUUGAUAAAUUUAACGGUGUGCGAAAAUCAACUGCGAUGAGCAAUCUACGAGUGCAUGCAGUCUGCAAAAUAAGAUCCGGUAACCAGUAUAAUUCUCCGAUGUGCUACACCCGGAAAUGGUAUCGAUCAAGAAGAAGAAAAUCCCGUCGAGAAGGUUCGACACUGCAGGUUCAACAGACAACGAAACUGUUCGAAGAAUGUCCGAAUAGUUUUCAACUUCAGGAUCCAAUGGAUGUCGACAGCAAUAACGUCUUUCCGGCCCAACUUCUUAGUGACAAAAUGACUUGAUCAACGACGCCCUGAACUAGGCAUAGAAGUCCGGACCCAAGCACCGACAUGGAAGCAGCAUAAGGAACGCAAGAGCCGUAUGUAGAAGGUUCACGGUAUCAAGAA